rnacentral:rRNA from 1 species
CUGGUGCCUAUGGCGGUGUGGUCCCACUCCGACCCAUCCCGAACUCGGUUGUGAAACGCAUCUGCGGCGACGAUACUUGGGGGGUGGCCCCCUGGGAAAAUAGCUCGGUGCCAGGG